UAUAUAAUUAUUUUUAUUUUUUUCCAUUAUAGCUGAUUUACAGUGUUCUGUCAGUUUUCUACUGUACAGCCUGGUGACCUAGUUACACAUACCCGUAUACAUUCUUUUUUCUCACAUUAUCAUGCUCCAUCAUAAGUGACCAGACAUAGUUCCCAGUGCUACACAGCAGGAUCUCAUUGCUAAUCCAUUCCAAAGGCAAUAGUUUGCAUCUAUUAACCCCAAGCACACCAUCCAUCCCACUCCAGUUUUUUUUUUUCUUUUUUUAAACAAGAUAAAGUAGACAAAUACAUGUUGGUAAAUGCUAACUGUCCAUAUUCACGUAGAGACACAGUGUAAUCUCUUUGCCUGAUAUACAGAGAAAGGAGGAGGAAAGCUAGAAUUCUGUGUACUACUACACAGGGGCCUAGCACCCUCCAGCUUCCAGCAGAGCUAAGGGAGCAGAAGGUUUUUCUUUUUUCCCAGAGAACAUGGUGGUGUUGAUUCCAUAAAAUUCUUAUUGAAACAGGAAGGGGUAAAAGUAAAUUUGGAACAGAAAGGGGUAGCGAUUCUUUUUCCACUGAGUUCUGGUCAAGGUAUUUCCCUCCAAAAUAAAUUGAGAACCAUGGUAAAAGGAGAAAAGACCCCCAAAACAGGGCGACUGAGCACAAGAGGGAAAAAAUAAAAAGAUGAUAGCAACUUGCUCCCAGGGAUUGGAGAAAAUUAAGUAAGGUUGGAAUCCAUCAGUGUUCCAUUAGUCAUCUUCUCCUUCAACUUCCUCUUUUUUCCUCCCCUUCAUCAUCAUCUUCAUAACCUUCAUCUUCAAUCCCUUCUUCAUCAAUAUCUUCCAAUCCUUCUUCCUAUUCAUUACCAUCAUCAUCUUCUCCUUCGCCUUCUUCAUCAUCCAUGUCAGGAACCAAGUAGUGCUAUAAUGGAUUUGGCCAAAUAUCAUCUUUGAUGACCUCUCUUAACUCAUUUGCACUUGCAUCAGAAUGAUCACUAAACCAGGUGAAGAAGCUCUCUGGUUCCUCAUGCUGUCUCUUCCUGCUGGCUUUAUUCUGGGUUUGACUUGAACACAGAAGAAAAAGAACAGCAAGAAGCAACUGAAUAUAUUGAUGAAGUAUACAGUGAAAUAGGCAGACUUAAUGAACAAGCCAGUGAGUAGAUUUUGAAAGUAGAACAGAAAUAUAACAAACUCCAUCAACCAUUUUUUCAAAAGAGGUUGAAAUUGAUUGCCAAAAUCCCAAACUUUGGGGUAACAACACUUGGUAACCACUCACAAGUGUCUACACUGCUUGGGGAGGUGGAUGAAGAGGCACUGCAUUAUUUGACAAGAGUUGAAGUGACAGCAUUUGAAAAUAUUAAAUCAGACCAAUAUGUCUUUUAAAAGAGAUAUAGAGCAUCCAAAUUAACUUUCCAAAUUCUUCUAAAUAUCUUAAAGGAAAAAAAAAGUUAUCUUGGCCUGCUGACCUAAUAGAUGUUUAUAAAUACAUUUAUAUGAAUGUUAGGAUGGAAAAGUUAUAGGGAAAUACUUUAGAAGUGUGUGUAUACAUUUGUAAGACUUCUGAGACCUUUAUUUGAUCAAUGUGGACAUUUCCGUCUACUCAUAAGAUUUGAAACAUUUAUAUUGUAAUAUUAAAACAGUUACUUGAAUAUUUGUGUUUAUGAUUCAUUGUUUAUCAUUCCUACAGUUGAUUUGAUGCAGAUCUUUGGCUACUGGUCAAACUCCAAGCUACAAUUUUCCUGAUUUGGGGAAAUAUAAAUGGGCCUAGGAAAGAAUUUACCAUUGGUGAGUUUUAGAGUAGCAUUUCCACAGAAGGUUGAACUCCCUUGUAAUUAUAACUAUGAAACUAACUCUUCCUCUUAAAAUUUCAUUUAUUUUUUUGUCUUCUUCAUUUUAUUAACAUUUAAAGAGAGAAGCCUUAUUUCUAAGUUUACUUCCUAAUAGCAAUCUUUUUUUUUUUUUUUGGCAGUCUGUGACAUUCAUUUAUUUUUUUUAACUCUAUCAAACAUUUGAGAAAAUCAACACAUAAUUAUUGUGCAUAAUUUAAGAAAGAAAGAAUCCAAUAAAGUUUCAAUAGCUAUGGGAUACUUUUAAAGGAUCAUCUGUGACUAAAGAGCAGAUGCAGAAAAAAAAAAUCUAGACUGAGUCUCCUUAGAGGAGAAGCAUCUGAGUUAGGUCAUGUUUUAAGCUUUUAAAACACCUUAGUUUACAAGUUACAUGAGGAUGGAAGGAGAAAAUACAAAGAUGCUACUAGAAACAUACCUUGGGUAUUAUUUUCAAAUAGCUUAUAGGCACAUGCACUAUCCCACAUUAAUAUAUGAUUAUGACAUCAAUUACCUGUUUUUUAACAU
rnacentral:lncRNA from 1 species